GUCCCGCCCCACCCGCGAAGCGUUUCACCCAAAGUUGUCUAUUGCCCCGCACACCAGUCAGAACCUGCCAGUGUCCACGACCGAGCAAGAGCGGGAAAGAAAUCCCGGUGGAGGCUCCGCUGGCUUCUCCAGGAAUGACAACGAUGCCUUCCUGGCGGGAGGCUCGGAAGGCUCGGAACCCUCCGUUGCAGUCCUUGGAGGGCCGCGGUGAGCAUCCUUAUCCUUUUGGACAGACCAGGAAGGGCCAGGCCAUCCCCACUUCCAGGCUGGACUCCUCAGAGGUGCAGUUUGACACUCUCUAAAGCGGACUCUAAGUUCCGGAGUCGGCCGAGCCUGGGCAGUACUACACCGCGCGGUACAAGUGCAGCCUGGCACACUCGUUCCACACCCGGCUCCUCGCCAGCAAGCUCAUUCCCAGGUGGUCAGGCUCAUUAUGGAUGAUGAGCUUUCAAAAAGAAAAAAAGAUGGAAAUCACCAACUAUGCUGCCUACUGAAUGAGUAUUUCCUUGUAGCAUGUGCAGAAUCAAGGAAAAUUAGACUUCUGCACUGUAUAAUCUACCAACAGCCUACUUUCCUACUGUUUUAGUCUAGGUUAUUCUUUAAAAAGCAGAGCCUGAAACAAAGGUAAUGACAUUCUGUUUGGGAAUUUGAUCCCAGGGAGCAGGAGUGAAAGAUAAACCAAGAGGGGAAAAAGGGAAAGAUCAAAGCAAAACAAGGUAAUGUUUUCAAGUGGUACACUGCUGUUAAUGCUUAUAUAAUGCCGAACCUUCUCAAGAAUCUGUCUCAAAACUGUCUUUCUGAGAGAUGAAAGGGAUAAGUAAUUUUAUGUCAGCAGCCAUCUCCUUGGUGUUGACAGCUGCAUUAACUCCCUCAUCGGUCUGGGUUGGUACAGGACAUCACACCUUGCUGCAACAGAGAAACUUUGGGACAGGAGGCUUGAUUCUUGGUGCAUGCUUGACAUGUGGCCCUGUCAGCAUGAAGCAGAGUAAAACCUUACAGACUGUUCACCAGAACUUCAGCUAGAAUCAGGUUGAAAAAAAAAUUUUAGAGUAUACAAAAGGUAUUUUUAAGCCUGCAUAAUACACAGUUAGACUGUCUAAACUGGUUUCCUCUCUUCUUUCUAUAACCAUUAUAUGUUAUCCAGAACAAAUUUGAAAGAAGGGUUAAAUAGGAAGGUUAAACAUACUGGGGGUUGUAUGUUUAUACCAGUUUUAACCUCAGGUUUAUAAAAAAGAGAAAGUGACAGUGGAACUUGGAAAACUGAAAAUUAUUGUACUUAAAAAAUUUGACCAUUGAGAUAUUAGAUACUGUCUAAAUUUUGAGAUACUAGAUACUGUCUAAACUUCUGUCAUAUCAGAAAUAGUCAUGAAUUGUUUAGAGAAAUAUGAAGAAUAAAAUUAACCAUUUCUUGUA